UAUUCACAGGGCAGAGCACUUCCUAACUGACAACAAUGAAGGGCAACCUCCAUUAUGGCUGUUUGCAUUGUGAGCUUUCCAAGGAUGGGUACCAUAUACAAAUGUUGGCUAUGAUGGUAUCCAAUAGAUCCCAUGCCCAUUUGUUUGCCAAAGUUUGAUAACUGCAACGGUCAAGUAGAAGAAGGUUCCAUGAGAAAGGGUGGGGUUUCUAUGCUGCUAGGCUGUGGUUUGCUUUGCUGCUUAUUCAGGAAUCAUUCAUACUCUUGUUUCUUGAACUUGGCUUGCCAGAAAGGCUAUUGUCUGAAAUGAUUGAGAGACAGGUGCAAGCAGGUUAGAUCAAGCUAGUGUUACACAUAUAUAGACUCAAAAAGAGAAAUGUAGGCCAAACAAUCGUCAACGUGGAGCUCCUAAACACUGUUACUCGCAUGGUAAAUGGAGAGGUACUUGAUGCUUCUACGACUCAACAAACGCUGUAUGGGAAUAAUAUUCUCAUGAAUCAAGUCAUCAAGCAAAAUCCAAAUGCAUCAAGUGAUGCUUUUUAGAAGAUGAUCGGUUAUACUUAAGCAAAUCCUUGUCGCUUUAUUUGGUUAGACAUUAAAUGAAAGUAGUUUAUCUUUGUGUUAGAUUUGGAAUUGAGACAAGAUCUCUAGGUUGUCAAGAUUGAAUGGUUGUUUACUUUUGGACAUGUAUUUUAUAAAUAUAUGUUUGUGAUGAUGAAAUAGUUUUAUUUUAGUGGAAUGCUUGUGUUAGAUUUUGAA